rnacentral:rRNA from 1 species
CGGUAAUACGUAGGGCGCAAGCGUUAUCCGGGAAUUAUUGGGCGUAAAGAGCUCGUAGGCGGUUUGUCGCGUCUGCCGUGAAAGUCCCGGGGCUCAACUCCGGAUCUGCGGUGGGUACGGGCAGACUAGAGUGAUGUAGGGGAGACUGGAAUUCCUGGUGUAGCGGUGAAAUGCGCAGAUAUCAGGAGGAACACCGAUGGCGAAGGCAGGUCUCUGGGCAUUAACUGACGCUGAGGAGCGAAAGCAUGGGGAGCGAACAGGAUUAGAUACCCUGGUAGUCCAUGCCGUAAACGUUGGGCACUAGGUGUGGGGGACAUUCCACGUUUUCCGCGCCGUAGCUAACGCAUUAAGUGCCCCGCCUGGGGAGUACGGCCGCAAGGCUAAAACUCAAAGGAAUUGACGGGGGCCCGCACAAGCGGCGGAGCAUGCGGAUUAAUUCGAUGCAACGCGAAGAACCUUACCAAGGCUUGACAUGGACCGGACCGCCGCAGAAAUGUGGUUUCCCCUUUGGGGCUGGUUUACAGGUGGUGCAUGGUUGUCGUCAGCUCGUGUCGUGAGAUGUUGGGUUAAGUCCCGCAACGAGCGCAACCCUCGUUCUAUGUUGCCAGCACGUGAUGGUGGGGACUCAUAGGAGACUGCCGGGGUCAACUCGGAGGAAGGUGGGGACGACGUCAAAUCAUCAUGCCCCUUAUGUCUUGGGCUUCACGCAUGCUACAAUGGCCGGUACAAAGGGUUGCGAUACUGUGAGGUGGAGCUAAUCCCAAAAAGCCGGUCUCAGUUCGGAUUGGGGUCUGCAACUCGACCCCAUGAAGUCGGAGUCGCUAGUAAUCGCAGAUCAGCAACGCUGCGGUGAAUACGUUCCCGGGCCUUGUACACACCGCCCGUCAAGUCACGAAAGUUGGUAACACCCGAAGCCGGUGGCCUAACCCCUUGUGG